UGGGGAAUAUUGCACAAUGGGCGAAAGCCUGAUGCAGCGACGCCGCGUGAGGGAUGACGGCCUUCGGGUUGUAAACCUCUUUCAGCAGGGAAGAAGCGAAAGUGACGGUACCUGCAGAAGAAGCGCCGGCUAACUACGUGCCAGCAGCCGCGGUAAUACGUAGGGCGCAAGCGUUGUCCGGAAUUAUUGGGCGUAAAGAGCUCGUAGGCGGUUAGUCGCGUCUGCUGUGAAAACUCGAGGCUCAACCUCGGGCUUGCAGUGGGUACGGGCUGACUAGAGUGCGGUAGGGGUGACUGGAAUUCCUGGUGUAGCGGUGGAAUGCGCAGAUAUCAGGAGGAACACCGAUGGCGAAGGCAGGUCACUGGGCCGCAACUGACGCUGAGGAGCGAAAGCAUGGGGAGCGAACAGGAUUAGAUACCCUGGUAGUCCAUGCCGUAAACGUUGGGCACUAGGUGUGGGGUCCAUUCCACGGAUUCCGUGCCGCAGCAAA
rnacentral:rRNA from 1 species